UGUCUCUAGGAGGAUUUGAAAUGAACCUGUAGCUCUAUUGCUUCAUAACACCUUUUAGGUGUUAUUAGUCCUCCUGAUGGGUUCUGUAGACAGCAGAAGUGUGCAGGGAGAGUCUUCAAGGCAUUCUGCUAUAUCUUUGAAACAGGAAGAGCACAGUCAGACACAGCAUUUGUAAAAGGAGCCCAGACAAAUGAACAGGAGGCAUUCUGAUCCCAGUGUUAUUUUGCUGUUUUGAUACAUCCAGAAGUUCUAACCGACAAAAGAGGUUCACUGGACAGCAUGUUCUACAAACAGG